GCCGGGUGUGGUGGCUCACGCCUGUAAUCCCAACACUUUGGGAGGCUGAGGCAGGUGGAUUGCCUGAGGUCAGGAGUUUGCAACCAGCCUGACCAACAUGGUGAAACCCUGUCUCUA
ensembl:misc_RNA Metazoa_SRP Metazoan signal recognition particle RNA